CUUGGUCAUUUAGAGGAAGUAAAAGUCGUAACAAGGUCUCCGUUGGUGAACCAGCGGAGGGAUCAUUACAGAGUUGCAAAACUCCCUAAACCAUUGUGAACGUUACCUUCAAACCGUUGCUUCGGCGGGCGGCCCGGGUCCGCCCGGUGCCCCCUGGCCCCCUUGCGGGGCGCCCGCCGGAGGAAAACCCAACUCUUGAUUAUUAUGGCCUCUCUGAGUCUUCUGUACUGAAUAAGUCAAAACUUUCAACAACGGAUCUCUUGGUUCUGGCAUCGAUGAAGAACGCAGCGAAAUGCGAUAAGUAAUGUGAAUUGCAGAAUUCAGUGAAUCAUCGAAUCUUUGAACGCACAUUGCGCCCGCCAGUAUUCUGGCGGGCAUGCCUGUCCGAGCGUCAUUUCAACCAUCAAGCCUAGUGCUUGUGUUGGGGCCCCGCGGCUGCCGCGGGCCCUGAAAACCAGUGGCGGGCUCGAAGUCGAACCGAGUGCAGUAAAUUUCUUCGCUUGGGAAGGUGACGAGUUCCGGCCGUAAAAAGCCCAACUUUAUCAAGGUUGACCUCGGAUCAGGUAGGACUACCCGCUGAACUUAAGCAUAUCAAUAAGCGGAGGA
rnacentral:rRNA from 1 species